AUCGCCCUACGGGGGGCAGCAGUGGGGAAUAUUGCACAAUGGGGGAAACCCUGAUGCAGCAACGCCGCGUGAGUGAAGAAGUAUUUCGGUAUGUAAAGCUCUAUCAGCAGGGAAGAAGAAAGAUGGUACCCGACUAAGAAGCCCCGGCUAACUACGUGCCAGCAGCCGCGGUAAUACGUAGGGGGCGAGCGUUAUCCGGAUUUACUGGGUGUAAAGGGAGCGUAGACGGCUGUGCAAGUCUGAAGUGAAAGCCCGUGGCUCAACCGCGGAACUGCUUUGGAAACUGUAUAGCUUGAGUACUGGAG
rnacentral:rRNA from 1 species